rnacentral:rRNA from 1 species
AGCGAACGCUGGCGGCAUGCUUAACACAUGCCAGUCGCACGGGCAGCAAUGUCAGUGGCGGACGGGUGAGUAACGCGUAGGAACGUGUCCUGAGGUGGGGGACAACCCCGGGAAACUGGGGCUAAUACCGCAUAUGGGCUGAGGCCCAAAGCCGAGAGGCGCCUUUGGAGCGGCCUGCGUCCGAUUAGGUAGUUGGUGGGGUAAAGGCCUACCAAGCCUGCGAUCGGUAGCUGGUCUGAGAGGACGACCAGCCACACUGGGACUGAGACACGGCCCAGACUCCUACGGGAGGGAGCAGUGGGGAAUAUUGGACAAGGGGCGAAAGCCUGACCCAGCAAUGCCGCGUGGGUGAAAAAGGUCUUCGGAUCGAAAAGCCCUUUCGACGGGGACGAUGAUGCCGGUACCCGUAGAAGAAGCCCCGGCUAACUUCGU